GAUGAACGCUGGCGGCGUGCCUAAUACAUGCAAGUCGAGCGAACAGACGAGGAGCUUGCUACUCUGACGAUUGCGGCGGACGUGUGUGUAACACGUGGAUAACCUACCUAUAAGACUGGGAUAACUUCGGGAAACCGGAGCUAAUGCCGGAUAAUAUAUUGAUCCGCAUGGUUCAAUAGUGAAAGACGGUUUUGCUGUCACUACUAGAUGGAUCCGCGCCGCAUUAUCUAGUUGGUAAGGUAACGGCUUACCAAGGCGACGAGGCGUAGCCGAACUAAGAGGAUGAUCGGCAACACGGGAGCGGAGACACGGACCAGACGCCUAAGGGAGGCACCAGUAGGGAAUCUUCCGCAGUGGGCGGAAGACUGACGGAGAAACGCGACGUGAGUGAUAAAGGUCGUCGGAGCGUGAAGCACUGUUACUAGUGAAGAGCAAAUGUCUAAGUUACUGGGCACAUCUUGACGGUACCUUAUCAGAAAGCCACGGCUAACUACGUG
rnacentral:rRNA from 1 species